GCAAAACGCGAAGAACCUUACCAACCCUUGACAUGGAGGGGACCGUUCCAGAGAUGGUUCUUUCACUUCGGUGACCCCUCACACAGGUGCUGCAUGGCUGUCGUCAGCUCGUGUCGUGAGAUGUUCGGUUAAGUCCGGCAACGAGCGCAACUCACACUUUCAGUUGCCAGCAUUCAGUUGGGCACUCUGAAAGAACUGCCGGUGAUAAGCCGGAGGAAGGUGUGGAUGACGUCAAGUCCUCAUGGCCCUUACGGGUUGGGCUACACACGUGCUACAAUGGCAGUGACAAUGGGCUAAUCCCAAAAAGCUGUCUCAGUUCGGAUUGGGGUCUGCAACUCGACCCCAUGAAGUCGGAAUCGCUAGUAAUCGCGUAACAGCAUGACGCGGUGAAUACGUUCCCGGGUCUUGUACACACCG
rnacentral:rRNA from 1 species